AGGGGGAUAACUACUGGAAACGGUAGCUAAUACCGCAUGAUGUCGCAAGACCAAAGUGGGGGACCUUCGGGCCUCACGCCAUCGGAUGUGCCCAGAUGGGAUUAGCUAGUAGGUGGGGUAAUGGCUCACCUAGGCGACGAUCCCUAGCUGGUCUGAGAGGAUGACCAGCCACACUGGAACUGAGACACGGUCCAGACUCCUACGGGAGGCAGCAGUGGGGAAUAUUGCACAAUGGGCGCAAGCCUGAUGCAGCCAUGCCGCGUGUGUGAAGAAGGCCUUAGGGUUGUAAAGCACUUUCAGCGAGGAGGAAGGCGCUGUAGUUAAUAGCUGCAGCGAUUGACGUUACUCGCAGAAGAAGCACCGGCUAACUCCGUGCCAGCAGCCGCGGUAAUACGGAGGGUGCAAGCGUUAAUCGGAAUUACUGGGCGUAAAGCGCACGCAGGCGGUUUGUUAAGUCAGAUGUGAAAUCCCCGAGCUUAACUUGGGAACUGCAUUUGAAACUGGCAAGCUAGAGUCUUGUAGAGGGGGGUAGAAUUCCAGGUGUAGCGGUGAAAUGCGUA
rnacentral:rRNA from 1 species